GGGCCCAUAGCUCAGCUGGUUAGAGCAUCCGACUCAUAAUCGGCAGGUCGUAGGUUCGAGUCCUACUGGGCCCACCA
rnacentral:tRNA from 1 species